rnacentral:rRNA from 1 species
CCCUUAGAUGUUCUGGGCCGCACGCGCGCUACACUGACGAAGUCAGCGAGCAUCUCCUACGCCGAAAGGUGCGGGGAAUCUUGUGAAACUUUGUCGUGCUGGGGAUUGAUUUUUGAAAUUCUUGAUCAUCAACGAGGAAUUCCUAGUAAGCGCAAGUCAGCAGCUUGCGUUGAUUACGUCCCUGCCCUUUGUACACACCGCCCGUCGCUACUACCGAUUGAAUGGUUUAGUGAGAUUUUUGGACUGGAACUCUCUUGUUCAGCGAUGAACGAGAGGGACUCUGGGAAGCUAUUCUAACUGUAUCAUUUAGAGGAAGUAAAAGUCGUAACA